ACAACGGAGAGUUUGAUCCUGGCUCAGGAUGAACGCUAGCGGCAGGCUUAAUACAUGCAAGUCGAACGGGAUUUGGAUAGCAAUAUCUGAUGAGAGUGGCGCACGGGUGCGUAACGCGUAUGCAACCUACCUUUAACAGGGGGAUAGC
rnacentral:rRNA from 1 species